UCCAAUCGAACUCGGAGAUAGCUGGUUCUCCUCGAAAUAGCUUUAGGGCUAGCCUCGAGCUGGAGUCUAACGGAGGUAAAGCACUGAACUGACGCGGGGCCCAAAAAGGUUACCAACUCAUAUCAAACUAAGAAUGCCGUCAAGAUACCCUCGGGAGUCAGUCUGCGUGAGAUAAGUCGCGUGGACAAAAGGGAAAGAGCCCAGACCGACAGCUAAGGUCCCAAAGUACGUGUUAAGUGGAAAAGGAUGUGGGAUUUCAUAGACAACUAGGAUGUUGGCUUAGAAGCAGCCAUACAUUUAAAGAGUGCGUAAUAGCUCACUAGUCGAGAAAACCUGCGCCGAAAAUGUAACGGGGCUAAAACACGACACCGAAGCUACGGAUUCCUUACAAAGUAAGGAGUGGUAGAGGAGCAUCCUGCAAGGACGAAGCCAAAGUGAGAGCGAUGGUGGACGAAACAGGAGAGAGAAUGCCGGAAUGAGUAGCGAGAUACAUGUGAGAAACAUGUAGGCCGAAUAUCUAAGGAUUCCUGGGUAAAGCUAAUCUUCCCAGGGUUAGUCGGGGCCUAAGGCGAGGACGAAAGUCGUAGUCGAUGGAUAACAGGUUGAUAUUCCUGUACUACACAUAAUCAGAACUGUGGGGACGCAGGAGGAUAGGGAAACCGGGGAAUGGAAAGACCCGGUCAAGCGUAAAGCUGUGGGAGAUAGGCAAAUCCGUCUCUUGUAAGUGAAACGUGAUGAGGACUGAAAAAAAGUAAGGAAGUUUCCGAAUCCACACUGCCGAGAAAAGCCGCUAUUGCGUUAUGUGUACCCGUACCGUAAACCGACACAGGUAGAUGAGGAGAAAAUCCACAGGCCGACGGGAGAAGUGUUGUUAAGGAACUCGGCAAAAUGACCCCGUAACUUCGGGAUAAGGGGAGCCUCGCAAGAGGCCGCAGAAAAGAGGCACAAGCAACUGUUUAGCAAAAACAUAGGUCUAUGCGAAACCGUAAGGUGAAGUAUAUGGGCUGACGCCUGCCCGGUGCUGGAAGGUUAAGAGGAGAGGUUAGCGCAAGCGAAGCUUUGAAUCCAAGCCCCAGUAAACGGCGGCCGUAACUAUAACGGUCCUAAGGUAGCGAAAUUCCUUGUCAGGUAAGUUCUGACCCGCACGAAAGGCGUAAUGAUUUGUGCACUGUCUCGACAACACGCCCGGUGAAAUUGAAGAACCAGUGAAGAUACUGGUUACCCGCAACAGGACGGAAAGACCCCAUGGAGCUUUACUGCAGCCUGAUACUGGGAUUCGAUGAUAUAUGUACAGGAUAGGUGGGAGGCUAAGAAGCGAGAACGCUAGUUUUCGUGGAGCCGCCGGUGGGAUACCACUCUUAUGUCAUUGAAUUUCUAACCUGCAUCCGUAAUCCGGGUGAGGGACAAUGUCAGGCGGGCAGUUUGACUGGGGCGGUCGCCUCCUAAAAGGUAACGGAGGCGCUCGAAGGUCACCUCAGAAUGAUUGGAAACCAUUCAAAGAGUGUAAAGGCAAAAGGUGGCUUGACUGCGAGAGCGACGGCUCGAGCAGGUACGAAAGUAGGACUUAGUGAUCCGGUGGUAAUAAGUGGGAAUGCCAUCGCUCAACGGAUAAAAGCUACCCUGGGGAUAACAGGCUUAUCUCCCCCAAGAGUUCACAUCGACGGGGAGGUUUGGCACCUCGAUGUCGGCUCAUCGCAUCCUGGGGCUGAAGUAGGUCCCAAGGGUUGGGCUGUUCGCCCAUUAAAGCGGUACGCGAGCUGGGUUCAGAACGUCGUGAGACAGUUCGGUCCCUAUCCGUUGUGGGCGCAGGAAAUUUGAGAGGAGCUGUCCUUAGUACGAGAGGACCGGGAUGGACGUACCUCUGGUGUACCGGUUGCAGACCAACUGCACAGCCGGGUAGCUAUGUAUGGAACGGAUAAACGCUGAAGGCAUCUAAGCGUGAAGCCGCCCUCAAGAUAAGAUUUCCCAUUCUUCGGAAGUAAGAUCCCUUAAAGAUAAUGAGGUUGAUAGGUUGGAGGUGUAAGCAUGGUAACAUGUUCAGCUGACCAAUACUAAUAGAUCGAGGGCUUGACCAA
rnacentral:rRNA from 1 species